UACAGAGGUCUCAAGCGUUGUUCGGAUUCAUUGGGCGUAAAGGGUGCGUAGGUGGCGCCGUUAGUCAGGUGUGAAAUCUCGGGGCUUAACUCCGAAACUGCAUUUGAUACUGCGGUGCUUGAGGACUGGAGAGGAGACUGGAAUUUACGGUGUAGCAGUGAAAUGCGUAGAGAUCGUAAGGAAGACCAGUGGCGAAGGCGGGUCUCUGGACAGUUCCUGACACUGAGGCACGAAGGCCAGGGGAGCAAACGGG
rnacentral:rRNA from 1 species